AGUGAACGCUGGCGGUAGGCCUAACACAUGCAAGUCGAACGGCAGCACAGUAAGAGCUUGCUCUUACGGGUGGCGAGUGGCGGACGGGUGAGGCAUACAUCGGAAUCUACUUUUUCGUGGGGGAUAACGUAGGGAAAGUUACGCUAAUACCGCAUACGACCUACGGGUGAAAGCAGGGGAUCUUCGGACCUUGCGCGAUUGAAUGAGCCGAUGUCGGAUUAGCUAGUUGGCGGGGUAAAGGCACACCAAGGCAACGAUACGUAGCUGGUCUGAGAGGAUGAUCAGCCACACUGGAACUGAGACACGGUCCAGACUCCUACGGGAGGCAGCAGUGGGGAAUAUUGGACAAUGGGCGCAAGCCUGAUCCAGCCAUACCGCGUGGGUGAAGAAGGCCUUCGGGUUGUAAAGCCCUUUUGUUGGGAAAGAAAAGCAGCAGGUUAAUACCCCGCUGUUCUGACGGUACCCAAAGAAUAAGCACCGGCUAACUUCGUG
rnacentral:rRNA from 1 species